rnacentral:rRNA from 1 species
UACGAAGGGGGCUAGCGUUGUUCGGAAUUACUGGGCGUAAAGCGUGCGCAGGCGACUUCUCAAGUCAGGGGUGAAAGCCCAGAGCUCAACUCUGGAAUUGCCUUUGAGACUGAGUGGCUUGAGUACGGGAGAGGUGAGUGGAAUUCCCAGUGUAGAGGUGAAAUUCGUAGAUAUUGGGAAGAACACCGGUGGCGAAGGCGGCUCACUGGCCCGUAACUGACGCUCAUGCACGACAGCGUGGGGAUCAAACAGG